rnacentral:rRNA from 1 species
UACGUAGGGCGCGAGCGUUGUCCGGAAUUAUUGGGCGUAAAGAGCUCGUAGGCGGCUUGUCGCGUCGGAUGUGAAAGCCUGGGGCUUAACUCCGGGUCUGCAUUCGAUACGGGCAGGCUAGAGUUCGGUAGGGGAGAUCGGAAUUCCUGGUGUAGCGGUGAAAUGCGCAGAUAUCAGGAGGAACACCGGUGGCGAAGGCGGAUCUCUGGGCCGAUACUGACGCUGAGGAGCGAAAGCGUGGGGAGCGAACAGG